rnacentral:rRNA from 1 species
UACGUAGGGUGCAAGCGUUAUCCGGAAUUAUUGGGCGUACAGAGCUCGUAGGCGGUUUGUCGCGUCUGCUGUGAAAACUGGAGGCUCAACCUCCAGCCUGCAGUGGGUACGGGCAAACUAGAGUGCGGUAGGGGAGAUUGGAAUUCCUGGUGUAGCGGUGGAAUGCGCAGAUAUCAGGAGGAACACCGAUGGCGAAGGCAGAUCUCUGGGCCGUAACUGACGCUGAGGAGCGAAAGCAUGGGGAGCGAACAGG